CACCAGAGAUGCAUUUCAAUAUUAGAUUACAAACUCAUAUUUUUUGUUUUAUAUUUUUAAGCCGAUGGGGGAGGGGUAUAACUCCUAAUAUCCCCCCUCCCCUUGCACACGCCACUGAUUCCGCAUAUUGUAUACCUUCAAUCGGUUUAAUAUCAAUAUUUAUGCUCUAUUUAAAUGGCUUUUAUUGACUCAUAUUAUGAAUUUAAUCACAUAUUUGAGAACUUUUUUUUUGUUUAUUAGAUAAAAAUAAAAAUUCAAGCGAUGUCCUUUUUUUUUGGUUUUUUCCCCCCCCUUUGUUUGUUCCAUUUUAAUGGAAUAGGGCACUUUACUUAUACGGGCCUCCGGACUCCCACAACUGUCACAAUCCGGACCUGAAUAUUGAAAUUUUUUUUUUUCUUUUGUAUAUUACGAUUCUAUUAAAUGAAGAUUUUCACCAUACGAAAAUUGCUGUCGCAAUAAUAGAUUUGCGUCGUCUUUAAAAUAAUAAUCAUUCUCGUUGACGUUCGUAUAUCAUCGCAGAAAAUCGUGCGGACAACUAAACGAUAGUGACUCACCGGGUAAAUAAAAAAUAUAUUCAAAUAUGUUAUUACAAUAAUAUCGCAAUAACAAUUAAACAUACACACGCACACGUCUCGUAUUUUAUGAGCAUCAAAUAUAAUUAACAUUCUGUACAGUAUACAAUUAUACAAUAAUUUUUCUUUUUGUGUUUUUGUGGUUUUUUUUUUUUGUUUUUACAUACUAUAUAAGUACAAAAUAAUAAUACAACAUAAAAUAAUCGCCGCGUAAUUUGCACGAGCGUUAUAUGUAUUAUGGUUUUUUCGCUAUUCUAGAUAAAAACAUCAAAACGAAAUGAUAUGCAUUUUACAAUUAUAUAUUAUACAAAUAAUAAUAAUAAUAAUAAUAAUAAUAAUAAUAGUAAUAGUAAAUAGGUAUAAUUAAUAAUUAUAAUACGAAACGAACACGGAAAUCAAGGUUUACACUUACGACAUAAAUAUUAUAAUAUUGUAUGUAAUAUGUAUAUUGUAUGUAUUAUCGUAGGUAUAUAUAUAUGUAUAUAAUAAUUAUCAUAAUUCAUAAUAAUUAAUAAUAGUGUAAUAAUAUAAUAUAUAUAUAAGUUUGAGAGAAAAAAAAUAAAAAAAAAAAAAUACUAAAUAUUAGGUAUAUAUUAUAUAAAUAUUCGUCCUACUCGCGUUUGACGAGCAAAUUUUUUUUUUUUUUCGAGUGAGUUUAUAUUAUAUAAUAUUGUAUUAUAGCUGUAUAAAUAUUAAUUAUUAUAAUAUAACGAAUAUACACACACACACACAUAUAUAUAUACAUAUAUAUAUGUAUAUAAAUACGUAGACAUAGAAGAGUAUGAUAAUGUACAAAAAACAAAAAAAAAAUUACGAAAUACAAAACGAAUACAUUACAGUUUUGUUCUCGAUAGAGUGCAAUAAUAAUAGGUAGUAUAAUGGAUAAUAUCAUAAUCGGAGAAAUCGGUUAAAACGUAACGACAACAAUAAUAACGACAACAACAAUAAUAAUAUAAAUAAUAAUAAUAAUAGGUAAAAACGCGUAAAAAAUGCGAUUCUAACGCGGCAUUUUUGUCGCACAACGCUCGGCGGGUGCUCGACGAUAUAAUUUAGCGGUUUUUACGGACGUCGAUAAAAUUAUCGUGAUCGGUACGGUUAAACAGUUUCAGACGGAGGCGCCGUGUAGUGUGGGGGGGGGGUGGGGGGGGGCUCGGGAGUGCAGUCCCCCGUGAGUUUGACGAACUGGGGCCGCCAAGGAAUAUAAUAAGACGACUUGGUAUAACCUUACACGAGUAUAUCUAAAACAGCGAGCCCCACCCCCACCCCCUUCACCCGGUGAUCCCCGUUAAAAACUUGACGCCUACGGACUUUCAGCGAUCGUUUGCACAUGCCUUUCGAAACCAACACGAGCGGUGUGCCAAUAAUGCGCGGAGCCGCCGGGAAUUAUAGAAAAACGACGCGCAGUCGUCUGCCCGCUACUACAGGCGUACCCGGUCGUGAUGGAGACGACGAUUGUUCGUUGAUGUUACGAAUCCCGAUAACCGGUGGGCGAUUAUUUUUUUCCCAAAAAAAUUCAAACGUAAUCAUUUUACGUACGCGUUUUCGCGACGCACUAUACCGACAUUAUUAUUGUUAUUAUUAUUAUUAUUAUAUAUAUUUAUAUGUUAUUCUGAACGAAAUUCAUUUCGAAAAAUGGCGGGUUUUAUUUAUUUAUUUUUUGUAAUAAAAUGCGCUGAGCAAAUAAUAUUGUGAACGAACGAACCGACCAGAUCGCCACUGCAGAUGUGUAGGCGUAAAAAAAAAAAAAAAAAAACAAUAUUACUAUUUUUCACUAGAGUUUCGGAAACACGCUCUUGUUGGUCACGUCACGGCACGAUAAUUAUUAAUUAUGGUAUUACUAACGUUCUCGCGGUUAGGUUAACGUGACUGUCGGUCGGUGGCGUAUUUAUAGGAUUUUGCUGAGGCGGAGUAGAUAUUGAAUUCUAAAAUUGUGACGUAUCGCGUAUGUAUUAUUAUUAUACAGUGUAUCUAAUAUAGACCGGGGGGGGGGAGUGGGAAGGAUCGAUUUAAAUUUUUGCCGGUUAGAAAUUUUUGUGUUACGUAAUUAUUCAAUUUAUCCUGAAAUUAUCGUCGAUAGAUAAGGAUUACACUAUAUAGGUGCCCGUCAGUAAUAAUCGUUCUAAGUUUGUGUUAACGGUACGCUAUACUACAGAGGUAUAACUGGACUAUUUGACAUUUUUAUAUUUAACUGCACCAUGUAUGUAAUACAUAAUUAUCUUUGUGUUAGAUAGAUAUAAUACACACGGGAUAGGUGUCGCGGUUCUAAACAAGAAUGACGUGGGCCUAUGCGCGUUCAACCUAAAGGAUAUUUCCGACGCCACAUUUGCGGUUGUCAAUAUCGCGACUAUCACGACAGUGGACUUAGAAUGUCACGAGGCCGUCGCGCGUUCGGACUCCGGGCUUUAUUAUUUUAAUCGAUUUGUCCGCGUCGCAUUUAUAUUAUACGGGUUCGAAGGUUCGGCAACGAAGGUGUGCGUUUUACAAAUCCAAUCGUGUCGUUUAGGAAAAUAAUAAAAAAAAAAAAAACCUUUAUUAUGACAUACGAAUAAUUAUUAAUGUAUAUAUUAGGCGCGGCCGGUUUUCAUUAUGUGCCUAAAUUUAAACCUACACCUGUGUAUAAAUCGAAAAAAAAAAACAAGAAAAAACCUCGCGCGUGCCCCGCAAUAAUAAUAAUAAUAAUACGAUAUUGUUUGACUGACGAUAAUAUAUUAUUAUUUUAUACUGAAUGUUAAUCGAAUAAGUUUUGACGACUUUUAAUCGUGUUCGAAACUUUUAAAAAUAAAUUAAAAAGGGGGGAAAACGGUUAGCGAAACGAAAACAAAUUUAAUUUACUGCUCCGCGCUUGUGUAAUAUAUUAUUAUUAAUAGGGCGAAAUAAAUCGUUAAAAAAAAAGCCAUUUGAAAUAGCCAAAAAAAAAAAAAAAACUACACAUAUUUAAUUUGUUUAUUAAAAAUUAAAUACCGCGGACGAAUAAAUAAUGCCCUCGAGCACUAUAACUAUUGCCUACAUAGUGUCUGACGUAAUAGUUUAUAUAGUAGUAGACGUUGUUAGCGGAUUCGCGUAAACCAGAACGAAAGAGAAAAAACCGACAGUCGGCGAAUUGAUAGCGAUUACGUUGAUAACAUGUUUUUUAUCGUAAAGGUGCGUGUGUGUUUAUGACGCCGUCGCAGCGUGCCGACGGGCCGUUGAUUUUCACCGGUCGUCAACACUCAGAAGGAAAUCGUAAACACGCCACUGACCGUGACACUCGCGACAUCUCUCCGUCAAUCGCCAAUAUUAUUAUAGGUUUUUUUUUUUUUUUUUUAAUAAAAUUUAUUGAAAUUCGAUUUGCGGAGGCUUAUUGAAUACGAUAAUUCCGCCGAACGGUGUGGGCAGUCAAUUCGUUCGUAUUCGUACCGGCCCGUGUACGGAAAACGUGGGCGAUAAGUCCGUCAGUACCUUAUAACAAGAGGCACGCAUAGGUGGGUACCCGAGACCCGAGUAUAUUAUCGUUGGAGUUACGGUCGUUAUUAUAACAGACACUCCGUUUUUUGAAUAAGGUUAUUUUUGUUUCGUUUUCACCCGUCCUACGUCGUCGGUCGGACUCGGGCGCUGUUCAACGACAAUGCAGCAGUCGUCUCCGUCGUUGUCUCAACUGUUUAUUAUAAUAUGUCUAUCGAUUAUGUGUAUCAAGUCUGUCGUCUUAAACGACGGCGAAAAACCAACGAGAAAGCCCAACAAGUGGCGCCGAAACCGUACGGUUUUCCGCCUGCGGGAGGCGGUCCGAGACAUUUCGGUCCGGAUUUCGCGCCGGCUGCUGUGCGAAUUUACGGAUCAUAUUCGGCGAAACGCGCUUGGACCGUCGAAGAUAAUGCGUUUUGUUCGAAUGGUUUUUUUUCUGUUCAUUUUCCCGUAUAAACGGCUCGGAGUCAAUAAAAAGUUCGUUACUACACGCGCGUUUAUCGACGGUCGAAACGAGCAAAGGGCGCGCUACCUCUAAGAGGAUUACAAACGCGGAACGAAAGUAUACGCGAGUGUCGUACGAGUUUUAUGGGAUUUGUGCGGUGUAGUAGCCGUUGUUGGUUUCGAAUCCGUUUCUCUUCGGGCAGACAACCCCCUCCCCCUCCUCCAUUCAUCCCUCCCACCCGGUCCGUCGACAAUCGUUCACAGCAUUGCCGUGUUAUUAUUACUCGCGCGCGCGAGUUUUUUCGUCGUACAAACGUCCCCCGGGGGGGGGGGGGAAGCGAAACAAUUACGUAUACUUGAUUGUGCAGUAUUACCGCCGUGUGGCGCAACGGUGAUCGGCGCGGUCGGUAUGUGGGUCGGAUCUGACCUGCCCCCCCGGUCGAAACGAAAUGCGCCACCGCGAAACGGCCGUGUAACGGUCGCGUGAUCGUUUUCACCUAUACAUCGAAUUGUGUAUUUCGGAGCGGUAAUGAAAACUCCGUCGUGCGUAAAAAAAAAAUCCGUAACUUUUACUCUAAAAUAUCGCGUGUUACACGGCCGGUGGUUCUUGACCUUUUUUUUUUUUUUUUUUCUCUCUCUCCCGGCGCCCGUUCGUCGAGAUACGUGCCCGCCGCGGACGUCGUCUCCCUCUCGCAGAUACAAAAAGACCGGACGGCGGGAAAUUUUCCCGAGUGUACAUUACCGUUAUACGCGGGUCGGCACACGAAAUAUUCCGGAUGAAAACCUAUCGACCCCGCGAAGAACGACCGCCGCUGCGGCCCGAAACACCGGCGUUCUUACGGCGUUGCCGUCGCCGUAAACGUUAAUUUCUACGCCGGCUCGCGAAACAUCAUCGCCGGGCAAACAGCAGAAUGUUAUUGGCGCUCGGCGAGCAUUCACGUCCCCGUGACGCGAUCACAAGAUAAUUUCAGAAGCGGACCGGCCACUACCCGUGAACAAUGGUCGUGCGCGAGGCGACGGGCCCGGAGGUCCGGUAAACCGCGGCGAUUCGUCGUUUAUCACCGCUGCCGGCACAUCGUAAACAAAGCGCCUCCGCGCAUCAUGGAACCCGGAGUAGCCGUACCCGUCCCUCUCGAUGGCCUAUCCGCGUCGUUCGUUAUCUGUAUGGACGCGAUCCGUAGGUAAUGAUAACGAUAACGGUAACGUACUGCGGGUCCGGGGCGGACGGGCCGCGGCGAUCCGAUCGACCGCGAUGAACGCCGGGAUUGAAAUUUGUUUUCUCAUUUUCGCGUACGUACAGCCUCGACGACCGUCCGCGUAAAACACCCGCGCACGCAGAGGUAAUAACGGCCACGUGCCCGAAGGAUUUACGCGGAGUGCGUGUCGCGGGGAUCUGAUCGUAGAUAUUUUUAUUAUUUUUUUUUUUUUCUAGAAAAUACAUAAUGCAAUUUCUGUAUGUAUAGAUAAUACACCCGCACGGAGCUCUUUGGCGCAGCGCAUUGUAAUAGGCGCACGUAUUUUUAUUUUUUUUUCCCACAACUACGCGGCGACGCGCGAUUUUCCGUACACGUCGGGCGUAAUAAGGCGAUAGAAUUGUUCAAUUUUUUUCCUGAACAAAAAGCUUUUUACUUAUUAUUAUUGUUAUUGUUAUAUUUCGCUCUCUAUAUAUGCCUACUUGAAACGGAAAAAAAGACGAUUUUACAAAAAAAAAAAAAAAUACGAAAAUCACGCAACACAUAUUACGUACUAUUACGAUUAUUGUAACGUUUAGAAUUAUCAUUAUUUGUGGUUUUUUUUUUCUUUUACUCGCCACACUAAAAUAUACGCAAUUUUAUUAUAUAUAUAUAUAUAAAUUAAUUUUUAAACAUUUAAUAUUAACUGUUUUUUUUUUUUUUAAAUUUCAUAAAAAUAACGACAUGAUAUUGUUAUUAUUGUGUUUAUAUUAUUAUAAUUAAUACAUACGGAGUCGUUAAUGCGACGCGACUCGUAUUGCGCUUCGAGUUAAUCCGCGUCCGUAUGCACGGGCGAACGUAACAGCUGCAGUUACGUCCGGAUAUUGGGGGGGGGGGCGGUGGGGGAACGAGCGUCCGCGACGAAUCGUAAUUUUUCCGCGGGGAUUUACCCCCGAAAUUUUCUCUGCGAAUCCAAAACCGCUCGAACCGUCCGAUAACCGCCAGUAUAUUAGUAUUUCAUUAAAGCUUCAAAGCGCAUCGAGUCGAGUGGCAUUGUAUAGUGCGUAUUUGACGAACCCGGUAUACACUACGACGCACGUAUAACGCCGCUAAAAAAGAACCGUAUUCGAAUAUUAAUAAUUAUUGUAUUAUAAUAUAUGAUAUCGAUAAUAAUAAAAAGAAGAUAUUAUAGUAUAUAAUGUUAAAAAUUGUAAUUAUUAUUGUAAUUUUUUUUUUUAAGUAAAUAUUAAUGUAAACUGGAUAUUAUAAU
rnacentral:lncRNA from 1 species